AGUGAACGCUGGCGGUAGGCCUAACACAUGCAAGUCGAACGGCAGCACAGAGGAGCUUGCUCCUUGGGUGGCGAGUGGCGGACGGGUGAGGAAUACAUCGGAAUCUACUCUGUCGUGGGGGAUAACGUAGGGAAACUUACGCUAAUACCGCAUACGACCUACGGGUGAAAGCAGGGGACCUUCGGGCCUUGCGCGAUUGAAUGAGCCGAUGUCGGAUUAGCUAGUUGGCGGGGUAAAGGCCCACCAAGGCGACGAUCCGUAGCUGGUCUGGGAGGAUGAUCGGCCACACUGGAACUGAGACACGGUCCAGACUCCUACGGGAGGCAGCAGUGGGGAAUAUUGGACAAUGGGCGCAAGCCUGAUCCAGCCAUACCGCGUGGGUGAAGAAGGCCUUCGGGUUGUAAAGCCCUUUUGUUGGGAAAGAAAUCCAGCUGGCUAAUACCCGGUUGGGAUGACGGUACCCAAAGAAUAAGCACCGGCUAACUUCGUGCCAGCAGCCGCCGUAA
rnacentral:rRNA from 1 species